rnacentral:rRNA from 1 species
UACGUAGGGGGCAAGCGUUGUCCGGAUUUAUUGGGCGUAAAGAGCGUGUAGGCGGCCAGAUAGGUCCGUUGUGAAAACUCGAGGCUCAACCUCGAGACGCCGAUGGAAACCAUCUGGCUAGAGUCCGGAAGAGGAGAGUGGAAUCCUGGUGUAGCGGUGAAAUGCGCAGAUAUCAGGAGGAACACCGGUGGCGAAGGCGGGUCUCUGGGCCGAUACUGACGCUGAGGAGCGAAAGCAUGGGUAGCGAACAGG